GCAUAUCAAUAAGCGGAGGAAAAGAAAAUAACAAUGAUUCCCCUAGUAACUGCGAGUGAAGAGGGACAAGCUCAAAUUUUAAAUCCGUCGGGUUUCACCUGACCGAGUUGUAAUUUGAAGAGGCGUUUUCCGCGUUUUUGAUCAGUCCAAGUCCUUUGGGAUAGGGCAUCAUGGAGGGUGAGAAUCCCGUUCGGCUGAUCAGAUUCGCUUUACGAUACGUCAUCAAAGAGUCAAGUUGUUUGGGAAUGCAGCUUAAAAUGGGAGGUAAAUUUCUCCUAAGGCUAAAUAACGGCGAGAGACCGAUAGCGAACAAGUACCGUGAGGGAAAGAUGAAAAGAACUUUGAAAAGAGAGUUAAAUAGUACGUGAAAUUGUUGAAAGGGAAACGAUUGAAGCCAGUCGUACCGGUGGGUAAUCAGCCUUUCGGCGUGAUUAUGUGGAGCGUGAGGAGUUAAACGCCCUCAUGCCUGCAUAUUCGUGUUCUUUGGGUGUACUUACCCGCAUGGUAGGUUAACAUCAAUUUCGAACGUCAUAAAAUGGUUGGAGAAAUGUAGCUUCGAUCUCGUAUUGAAGUGUUAUAGCCUUCGGCAGAUGUGAUGAUCGGGAUUGAGGAUUGCAACGGAUACCCUUCGGGGCUACCCGUCUGAUCUCUGAAAGUUACUCUGGUGCCGAAAGCUCGCUUACGGUCAUCAAAGUUGACGUUCAACAGGUUAGAACGGGAUAAAUUCGUUAAGGAUGUUGACGUAAUGGCUUUAAACGAC
rnacentral:rRNA from 1 species